UACAGAGAGUGCAAGCGUUAAUCGGAAUUACUGGGCGUAAAGCGCACGUAGGUGGAUAUUUAAGUCGGGUGUGAAAGCCCCAGGCUCAACCUGGGAACUGCGUCCGAUACUGGGUAUCUAGAGUAUGGUAGAGGGAAGUGGAAUUUCAGGUGUAGCGGUGAAAUGCGUAGAUAUCUGAAAGAACACCAGUGGCGAAGGCGGCUUCCUGGACCAAUACUGACACUGAGGUGCGAAAGCGUGGGGAGCAAAC
rnacentral:rRNA from 1 species